AAACUUCACACUGCAGGAAGCUGUGAUGAGGGAACUCCUAGUGCAUGCACUAUGUGUAUGUAGAUCCUACUCUUAACAAGUAGAGGGAAAGGGCUGGGAAAGACCGGUG
rnacentral:rRNA from 1 species